AAAANUUUGCACGCAUUUACUCGCCUGAAAACUAUAAGCGUAAGCUUAAAACUCAAAGGGUCUGGCGGCACUUUAAACUAUCUAGAGGAGCCUGUCCUAUAAUUGAUAAUCCCCGUUAAACCUCACCUUUUUUAGCUACUGUUCAGCCUCUAUACCGCCGUCGUCAGCUUACCCCCUAAAGGCCACAUGAGUAAGCAAAACUGGCCCAGCCCAAAACGUCAGGUCGAGGUGCAGCUCACAAGAAGGGAAGAGAUGGGCUACAUUUCCUAUACAGGAAAUACGAAUAAUGCAUUGAAACAUGCAUAUUGAAGGAGGAUUUAGCAGUAAGUAAAAAAUAGAGUGUUUU
rnacentral:rRNA from 1 species